rnacentral:rRNA from 1 species
UACGUAGGUGGCAAGCGUUAUCCGGAAUUAUUGGGCGUAAAGCGCGCGCAGGCGGUUUCUUAAGUCUGAUGUGAAAGCCCACGGCUCAACCGUGGAGGGUCAUUGGAAACUGGGGAACUUGAGUGCAGAAGAGAAAAGCGGAAUUCCACGUGAGCGGUGAAUGCGUAGAGAUGUGGAGGAACACCAGUGGCGAAGGCGGCUUU